rnacentral:lncRNA from 1 species
GUGUGUAUAAAUACCACUUAUCACACCCCCAAACUUAAACUGAUGCUUGUCCUCAAGCGUCAACGACACUAUACAAUAAUACAAUGCAAUGCAUGAAUGCAACUACGUGAUGAAUGAGUGAACUAUGAAGUAAUUGCCUUGCCAAUUAUAAUACCUCAGAUUGUGCUAAUGUUCUCGAAUUUCAUCUCUCUCGCUACCAAGUCAAUUACUCUUCUAUUUACAAGUGUGGAGUGCCAGUGUGUGCAAGCAUGCUCUUUUAUUGAGACAAGACAAAAACUACUACUCCCACAGAAUCCCAAUCAAGAAUCGUAAAAGUUUAAAACUAACACCCCGUCACUCAAGUCCAACUAAAAGCCAAGGUCCCAAAGAAUGUCCACACCCUUCUAUUUUAUUCACUUUUUUUUUUUUUCUUUUUAUUGGUGAUUAAUUGCUCGGUCUAAGGUCAGAGCGCUUCGCAGUGUAAAUGCGUUACGAACACCACAAGACUUCACACACCAAUUAUUCACUUUAUUCUAGUGGUUUAUUUAACCGUGCAAUGGUUGAGAUCCCUAAAGAUUUAUGCACUAGUACCCAUGUAGCGAGCGUUGGGUCAACAAUCCC